UGAGUCACUCUACUUUGGAAUCACCUUUAGUGACAAAUAUUCCCUGAAUACCAACUCCAAGUAGGGCACUUUCAGACACUAGGAACCCAGAAAAACUCUGACAGUCAGCUUUUAGUUCAGACAAGGGAACAGAUCCUAAAUAGAAAUAGCAAAAACUACAGAAGAACCCAUUCAGGUUCAUACUGCACUCUACCCAAACAUGUGAGAUCUCUUCAAUGGACUACAGAUAAUGGGCAUAACUCAGAGAGACUGUGACAGUUACAUUUGCAGAAGGAAAACCCCAAAACGAUGAAGCAGAGGAUCUUACUUGUCUAAUUCUGGGAAUUAGCGAAGCAGGAGAUGUAAGAGUCAUGCCAAAAGUGAUUGCACAUGUAUUUAUGAUGACACAAAAUUAAAAUGAAUUUAAAUUAACUAAUUAAUUAUUGUUUCCUCCGAAUCACUGCAGGGCCUACCACACAAUUCCCCCUGCCUCAGUCCUCUCCUCCAUGGACUACUUAAGCAGCAUGAAUAGUGUCUCCCAUACUGUAGCUUGAAUAGUUGUCUGUCCAAAAUGCAGAUGGGUUCAUUUCCUCCUCUCUCAAAUCCCUCAUAGCUUCCUGAACCUUAUAGGAUGAAGCCAGGCCUCUUUCCCAUGGCAUUGAAAGUUCUCCAUGAACCAUCCCCUUAGCUAACUUCCCAGACUUACCAGCAAUGACUAUUAGGCCACAAAAGUUUUAUAUCAUAUUUGUUUCUCCAUUUCUUCUCUUGGCGUCCUCAAUCUAUAUCUGCGUAUGAGAAUUGAUUGGGUUUGAAAGAUUCCAGACCAGCUACAGAGCAAAUUACAGUCUAAUAUUCAUAAAAUCCUAAAAGCAAGACAGAGAGAAAGUCUCCACAAAUGCUUCUAGAAAGCAGGCUUUUUAGGCUGUAAAUCAACUCUGCUUAUUAUACAGAGUUUGGGGAGGGAUAUUUAUUACACAGGGGAGUUUCAACAGAAGAAUAAAGAAAUCACCAGGCUGCA
rnacentral:lncRNA from 12 species